rnacentral:rRNA from 1 species
AAGCUCGUAGUUGAAUUUCGGGGUUAGUAGGUUGGUCAUGCCUCUGGUAUGUACUGGUCUCACUGAUUCCUCCUUCCUUAUGAACCGUAAUGCCAUUAAUUUGGUGUUGCGGGGAAUUUGGACUGUUACUUUGAAAAAAUUAGAGUGUUUAAAAGCAAGCUAACGCUUGAAUACAUUAGCAUGGAAUAAUGAAAUAGGACGUUCGAUCUUAUUUUGUUGGUUUCUAGGAUUGACGUAAUGAUUAAUAGGGAUAGUUGGG